rnacentral:rRNA from 1 species
AGAGUUUGAUCCUGGCUCAGGACGAACGCUGGCGGCGCGCCUAACACAUGCAAGUCGAACGAGCGAGAGAGAGCUUGCUUUCUCGAGCGAGUGGCGAACGGGUGAGUAACGCGUGAGGAACCUGCCUCAAAGAGGGGGACAACAGUUGGAAACGACUGCUAAUACCGCAUAAGCCCACAGGUCGGCAUCGACCAGAGGGAAAAGGAGCAAUCCGCUUUGAGAUGGCCUCGCGUCCGAUUAGCUAGUUGGUGAGGUAACGGCCCACCAAGGCAACGAUCGGUAGCCGGACUGAGAGGUUGAACGGCCACAUUGGGACUGAGACACGGCCCAGACUCCUACGGGAGGCAGCAGUGGGGAAUAUUGCACAAUGGGGGAAACCCUGAUGCAGCGACGCCGCGUGGAGGAAGAAGGUCUUCGGAUUGUAAACUCCUGUUGUUGAGGAAGAUAAUGACGGUACUCAACAAGGAAGUGACGGCUAACUACGUGCCAGCAGCCGCGGUAAAACGUAGGUCACAAGCGUUGUCCGGAAUUACUGGGUGUAAAGGGAGCGCAGGCGGGAAGACAAGUUGGAAGUGAAAUCUAUGGGCUCAACCCAUAAACUGCUUUCAAAACUGUUUUUCUUGAGUAGUGCAGAGGUAGGCGGAAUUCCCGGUGUAGCGGUGGAAUGCGUAGAUAUCGGGAGGAACACCAGUGGCGAAGGCGGCCUACUGGGCACCAACUGACGCUGAGGCUCGAAAGUGUGGGUAGCAAACAGGAUUAGAUACCCUGGUAGUCCACACCGUAAACGAUGAUUACUAGGUGUUGGAGGAUUGACCCCUUCAGUGCCGCAGUUAACACAAUAAGUAAUCCACCUGGGGAGUACGACCGCAAGGUUGAAACUCAAAGGAAUUGACGGGGGCCCGCAC